rnacentral:ncRNA from 1 species
AAAUCUGGAGAGAGGUGUAUAAGAGCACUCGCCGAAGGGAUAACGAUCUCAGGCAAAAGGACAGAGGGG